AGUGAACGCUGGCGGUAGGCCUAACACAUGCAAGUCGAACGGCAGCACAGUAAGAGCUUGCUCUUACGGGUGGCGAGUGGCGGACGGGUGAGGAAUACAUCGGAAUCUACUUUUUCGUGGGGGAUAACGUAGGGAAACUUACGCUAAUACCGCAUACGACGUACGGGUGAAAGCAGGAGAUCUUCGGACCUUGCGCGAUUGAAUGAGCCGAUGUCGGAUUAGCUAGUUGGCGGGGUAAAGGCACACCAAGGCGACGAUCCGUAGCUGGUCUGAGAGGAUGAUCAGCCACACUGGAACUGAGACACGGUCCAGACUCCUACGGGAGGCAGCAGUGGGGAAUAUUGGACAAUGGGCGCAAGCCUGAUCCAGCCAUACCGCGUGGGUGAAGAAGGCCUUCGGGUUGUAAAGCCCUUUUGUUGGGAAAGAAAAGCAGCAGGUGAAUACCCCGCUGUUCUGACGGUACCCAAAGAAUAAGCACCGGCUAACUUCGUG
rnacentral:rRNA from 1 species